GAGAGGAGAGGAUUUAAUAGAGAGAAGAGAGAUGUGGAGAGGUUAUAGCAGAGAGAGGAGAGGAUUUAAUAGAGAGAAGAGAGAUGUGGAGAGGUUAUAGCAGAGAGAGGAGAGGAUUUAACAGAGAGAAGAGAGAUGAUAGCAGAGAGAGGAGAUUAUUUAACAGAGAGAAGAGAAAUGUGGAGAGGUUAUAGCAGAGAGAGGAGAGGAUUUAACAGAGAGAAGAGAGAUGUGGAGAGGUUAUAGCAGAGAGAGGAGAUGAUUUAACAGAGAGAAGAGAGAUGUGGAGAGGUUAUAGCAGAGAGAGGAGAGGAUUUAACAGAGAGAAGAGAGAUGUGGAGAGGUUAUAGCAGAGAGAGGAGAGGAUUUAAUAGAGAGAAGAGAGAUGUGGAGAGGUUAUAGCAGAGAGAGGAGAGGAUUUAAUA